UCUGCAGACAAUGUUGUUACAAGUGUGAAUUUCUCAAGUAUAGCUUCACUUUUGUAUUCGUAACAUGUAAUCUGAAGGGAGACUAAAUCUCCUUGUAUAGCUAGAGCUAGGCAGAGACCGUAAGCAUUUGAAGUUGGUGUGUUCUGCCUAAGAUACAGGGAUGUGUCUUUAUGACUUUGCUUCCCUCCCAAGCCUCUGUUCUGUACAAUGUUAAUUCCUUCUCCCCCUAGUCUCAUGUUUCUUCCUCCUUUCAUGAAACUGCAGCUAAGAAAAGAAAGAAAAAGUCAGUAAUAAGUUUCUAAGGAUAGCAUAUAUUUAUAUCUUAAAUCCUUGUUUUACUCUGCCUCAAGUGCUGUUAAUUCUUCAGUGAACCUUGAUCUGAGACAACAAGAAUUGGAAUGACUGAUGUGAUGGCUGCCUGGCACAGAUGAUUUGUGAGAUAUGGACUUAGUGCAUAGAAAAACCUGAGCUACACUAUACAAGCUAGAGAACUAAGCUUCCUGUAACUGCUGUGCAUGGCUGGCUAGGCAAAUGAGCUAGUGGGGACUUACAAAUCCUUAGUGGACAAAGCUGGCCUGGGAUCAAUGGUUUCAGUACGUUAUCUUGGUGAAGAGAGAUGUGUUUUUCUUUCUAAAGACCUUUUGACACCCAUUCAGGAUGUGGACAAUUCCAGGCUUCCUCUUAAGGAUGAUCAAAAUGUUAAUGAAGAAAUUCAGGCUCUGGUUAAGAAGCACCUGGAUGAAACACGCUUGGUGCAAGGUGGGAAAAACAUCAUUGGUUCAAAAAUCAGAAUUUAUAGCCUGGAUCCAUCUACUCAGUGGUUCACAGCAGUUGUUGUCAAUGGUAAUCCAACCACCAGAACUCUAGAAGUCAACUGUCAGGAGAUUCCAGCUUUAAAAACUCUCGAUCCAGAGUUAAUUCACGUUGAAAUCAUAUAUGACAGCAAUGGAAAAUCUGAUAAAUCUAAAAGAGUUGGGGGUGUGAAAAGGAAAUCAUCUGAAAACAGUGGAAGUGUUGAUGCUAAACACCCAAGAUCUUCUCCUGAGGUCUCUCCCAGUCAGGGAGCUGUGCAGUCAGUACCAACUGUGUUGGGUGAAGCAUUGCUUGGCUGUACUCCUGCUAAUAAAGACCAAAGGCAUCCAGGCCUGCCCCUGCCAGCUAAUUCACCACCCAAUCUUGGUGCAGAAACUCCUCAGGGCACAUGCAGACGAAGCUUACCAGAAACUCAUCCUUCUUGUCUUAAUACUGGAAUGAAACCACUGAAGGAGGAUCUGCCAGCCUUUCCUAAAGUGGGCUUUGUAUCUAAAGAACAAACACAAAAACUUACCGAUCCAAAUGGUAAAUAUACCUCUUUGACAACCUCAAGAUCUCCAUCUGUGACUGAUUCAGCUAAGGAAAAAGGAACCACCAUGAAAGCCACCAAUGAACCUCUUGUGAAGCCCACCACAAACUUUCCAAAACAACACACUGCUGUAAAACAGUUGCAGCAUCCAAACCCUUCCAUAGCAAUACCCCGGGGCAGCAGCACUGCUGAGCUGCAGCGGACUUUGGACUGCAGACCCUCCACCUCAGAUGCUCAUCUUCACUGUUUUACUGAGUCUGGAUUUAAAUUGCACAGCAACUGCAACAGCCACAAAGGAAACAAACCAGAUGAACUUGCAGACAUGGAGUUUUUUAUUAGAAGAAAUUCAGCUGAGAUUCUUUAUGACAGAAAUGAGAGUGAAGGCUUUUGGACUGGAAGUGCCAAGGUCCAGGAUAAUAUAAUAGUUCGCAAGUCCAUUUUAUCAGAUGCUUCUAAAGUGAAGAAGCUGCAGCAAAGUGGCGAAGCAUUUGUACAGGAUGGUUCCUGCAAUAACAUCGCACCUCACUUGCACAAAUGCAGGGAAUGCCGUUUGGAUAGCUACAGGAAGAACAAAGAGCAGAAAGACUCCACUGUCUUCUGUCGAUUCUUUCACUUUAGAAGGUUGCAGUUUAAUAAGCAUGGAAUACUACGUGAGGAAGGCUUUCUAACUCCAAAUAAGUAUGAUCCUGAGGCUAUUAGCUUGUGGCUGCCUUUAUCAAGAAAUGUUGUGGGUCUAGAUCUUGACACAGCCAAGUACAUCCUGGCCAACAUUGGAGACCACUUCUGUCAGCUGGUGAUAUCUGAAAAGGAAGUGAUGUCUACAAUUGAACCACACAGACAGGUCGCCUGGAAGCGUGCUGUUCGUGGAGUCCGAGAGAUGUGCGAUGUGUGUGACACCACAAUCUUCAACCUUCACUGGGUCUGCUCCAAGUGUGGCUUUGGUGUGUGUGUGGAUUGCUACAGGAUGAAGAAGAAAAGCUUGCACGAAGAUGAUGAGUCGGAUACUUUCUCCUGGUUUAAAUGUGUGAAGGGGCAGGUACAUGAACCAGAGAAUCUGAUGCCUACACAAAUCAUUCCUGGAAAAGCUCUCUAUGAUGUAGGUGAUAUUGUUCACUCCAUAAGAACAAAAUGGGGAAUAAAGGCUAAUUGUCCUUGUGCAAAUAAGCAGUUCAAAGCACUAUCAAAGCCAACUCUAAAGGAGGAUUCAAAACAGAACUUGGUACCUGGAGAAAGGACCAGCCUUCAACAUAACAGCUUUGUCCUGAGCCCACAGGUCACUACACACGAUCCUCCUCUAAAGUCAGCAAUUGGAAGUAAACAAAGUGUGUCAGUAAAUACUCCUCCUUCAUUAAGCUGGUUAUCAAAUCUAACAAGUGGAAACGUGAAUAAAGAAAACAAAGAGAAACUCCUCAUACCUAUUCCAAAGAAUGAGAACAAACCUCUCCAGACACUCCCUAGUUUAGCCAAGCCUGCUGCAGCCCUGCAGACAUUCAACAGUGCAAUACUGACACCCGUGAGCAACAACAACACAGGCUUCUUGAGGAACCUGUUGAACUCUUCUGGAGGAAAGACAGACAACGGACUCAAGAGUACACCCAAAAUCCUUGAUGACAUUUUUGCUUCCCUGGUGCAAAACAGAACCAUUACAGACCUGCCUAAGAAACCUCAAGGACUCACUAUAAAGCCUACAAUCAUGGGCUUUGACACACCACACUACUGGUUAUGUGAUAACCGCUUGCUGUGCCUGCAAGACCCCAACAAUGAAAGUAACUGGAAUGUCUUCAGGGAGUGCUGGAAGCAGGGACAGCCUGUAAUGGUGUCAGGAGUGCAUCACAAAUUAAAUGCAGACCUCUGGAGACCAGAAUCCUUUAGGAAAGAAUUUGGCCAACAGGAAGUGGAUCUGGUUAACUGCAGGACCAACGAAAUCAUCACUGGAGCUACUGUAGGAGACUUCUGGGAUGGAUUUGAAGAUAUCUCAAGUCGCCUGAGAACAGAAGAAGGAGAACCAAUGGUGCUGAAGCUUAAAGACUGGCCUCCAGGAGAAGACUUCAGAGAUAUGAUGCCUUCUCGGUUUGAUGAUUUGAUGAAAAAUAUUCCCUUGCCAGAAUACACCAGAAGGGGUGGCAAGCUCAACCUUGCCUCUCGACUGCCCAACUACUUUGUACGACCAGAUUUGGGCCCCAAGAUGUACAAUGCCUAUGGCUUAAUAACACCAGAGGAUAGAAAAUACGGCACAACAAACCUCCAUUUAGAUGUGUCUGAUGCAGCCAACGUUAUGGUUUAUGUGGGUAUCCCCAAAGGCCAGGCAGAUCAAGAAGAAGAAGUGCUUAAAACCAUACAGGAUGGUGAUUCUGAUGAACUGACCAUUAAGCGCUUUACUGAAAGCAGAGAGAAACCUGGAGCUCUGUGGCACAUUUAUGCUGCCAAAGAUACAGAGAAGAUCCGGGAAUUCCUUAAAAAGGUUGCAGAGGAACAAGGUCAAGAAAACCCUGUUGAUCACGAUCCCAUUCAUGACCAGAGCUGGUACCUGGACCGGUCGCUAAGAAAACGCCUUCAUCAGGAGUAUGGAGUUCAAGGCUGGGCUAUUGUACAGUUUCUAGGAGAUGUAGUUUUCAUUCCAGCAGGAGCUCCACACCAGGCAAGGCCCAGGGGCACUCUUCCAGCCUGACCCUGUGGGCAGAGAGCUCUGAGCACAGCACUAACGCUUGUGUUUGUUCUCUCUAGGUUCAUAAUCUGUACAGUUGUAUUAAAGUUGCAGAAGACUUUGUAUCCCCAGAGCACGUCAAACACUGCUUCUGGCUCACUCAGGAAUUUAGGUAUCUGUCACAUACGCAUACGAACCACGAAGAUAAAUUGCAGGUGAAGAAUGUCAUCUACCACGCUGUUAAAGACGCGGUUGGGAUACUGAGAGCCAACGAAUCCAGCCUUAGCAGACCGUGAAGCAGAAAGCCUUAACCACACACACUGAAACAGAAGCACUGGCAGCUCUUUUACCUACUCAGUCAGGACCUCUGUGGACUUUUGAGCUUCUAUGAAUGUUACCUCAUCUUCCUUUCAGCAGUACCAGAGGCUCGUGGUACUAUAUUCUGUGUAUUCUUCCAAUGUUUACAAACCUGAUAUGUAUAUGUAGUAAUAUGUAUGGACUGUGGCAUACUGUGAAUGCUCAGCUGCAAUAGAACUUUAUACGGAGUCGCUCUCCAAACUGUACAAAAAUACCUCCUUAGAGAACUGUUGGGAAACUAUUCCAAAUUCCCUGUUUGAAAAAGAACAUUAUUUCAAGGCAUUGUAAAGCUCCAGUUUUUCACAUGUAUUUUGGGGUGGGAGAGGAAGCAGGAGUCACCCAGUUUAAUAACUGAUUUCCUUUUUUUCCUGUAAGAAUGCAGUUCUGGAAUUUCACAUUAACAUAGAACUAGCAUUUAAAAGUAGCUUUAAGCUAUUGUAUAGGAACAUAGAGACGGGGGUUAAACCAUCUUUAGAUAAAUGUAUUUAAAUUUCUAAAUGUUAAAAAAACAAAGACACUUUUAAUCAAAACAGCUUCUGUUUGAAACUGCUCUUUCAGUUGAACUGAUGUUUGAUUCCCUGGUUUUUAACACUGAAUGGUCUACAUAAAACUCUUCUAUUUCA